AGUACAGCUGUCCUUUGGAAAGGCUGCUUAGUAUUUUCUGGUGUUUUAAAGCCUGAGGGAGGUUGCACACCUGCGAUUCUUUCUCAGGGACCUGGUACAGCCUGUUCAAGCAAACAUCUCCAUGGGACAUUAUCUCAGACAUCCUUCACAUUUGGAAAUGGACAAGGGAGAGAUGGAGCAAUGCCAAAGUCCCACAGAAGAGAAACCCAUCUCCAAGGGAUCAGUCCCAGCUUGAAACAAGUCACACUGUAUCAGCUGCUCUAUUACAGUGGACUUCCAUGUCGGGUCCCUGGGAGAGGAAGACCCAGGCUAUGGAUUUUGUGACUUCCAGGGGGCCCAGGAGAGACUCAUGCUGCCAAGUCACAGCCCAAUCUUUUGCUACUGAGUGUCCAUCACCGAGGGUAAUUUCAGGGAAGAAAAGCUCAAGAAAGAGGGCUACUGCUGUUGUUUAGCCAUUGAGUUGUGUCCGACUCUGUGACCCCAUGGACUGUAGCCUGCCAGGAUCCUCUGUCCAUGGGAUUUCCCAGCUAAGAAUACUGGAGUAAAUUGCCAUUUCCUUCUCCAGAGGACCUUCUCAACCCACGAGUUGAACCUGUAUCUCUUGCUUGACACAUGGCUUCUUUACAAUUGAGUCACCUGGAAAGCCCCAAGAAAGAGGAUAUAAAUAUUGUGUGUGUGUGUGUGUAUAUAUAUAAAUAAUUAUGACUGAUUCAUGUUUAUAUAUGGCAAAGACCACCAAAACAUUGUAAAGCAAUAUCUUCCAACUGAAAAAAUAAGAUAAUCAAGUAAAAAAUCACCUUAAUGCUUUAUUAACUCAUGUUUCAGUAUGUUUCAUAGAGUUAGUGCAUUCGCAAAUGCCUUGAAAGUAAAGACACAUAUUAUUUAAUUCUUUGUUAUAUAUUGCAAUUUUCAAAUAUUGUUUCCCAUUUCUGACAUUCUAUGCACCUUUUGUAAUAUGUACCUGAAGUCUUUUUGACAAAGUUUUAGAAAACAAUAUUUUUCUAUGUGUAUGUUUUAGAAUAAAUGGUUAUUUCUCCACUUAUUUGCUCCA
ensembl:lncRNA